GAUGAAGAACGCAGCGAAAUGCGAUACGUAAUGUGAAUUGCAAAUUCAGUGAAUCAUCGAGUCUUUGAACGCACAUUGCGCCCCCUGGUAUUCCGGGGGGCAUGCCUGUCCGAGCGUCAUUACAACCCUCAAGCUCAGCUUGGUGUUGGGCCCCGCCGCCCCGGCGGGCCCUAAAGUCAGUGGCGGUGCCGUCCGGCUCCGAGCGUAGUAAUUCUUCUCGCUCUGGAGGUCCGGUCGUGUGCUCGCCAGCAACCCCCAAUUUUUUUCAGGUUGACCUCGGAUCAGGUAGGGAUACCCGCUGAACUUAAGCAUAUCAAUAAGCGGAGGA
rnacentral:misc_RNA from 1 species